AGAGUUUGAUCAUGGCUCAGAAUCAACGCUGGCGGCGUGCCUAACACAUGCAAGUCGAACGCGAAAGUUCCGCAAGGAAUUAGUAGAGUGGCAAACGGGUGAGUAACACGUGGGUGACCUGCCUUCGAGUGGGGGAUAACGUCCCGAAAGGGACGCUAAUACCGCAUAAUAUCCUGCCUUUUAAGAGGUGGAAAUCAAAGCCGGGGAUCGUAAGACCUGGCGCUUGAAGAGGGGCCCGCGUCCGAUUAGCUAGUUGGUGGGGUAACGGCUCACCAAGGCGACGAUCGGUAGCCGGCCUAAGAGGGCGGACGGCCACACUGGGACUGAGACACGGCCCAGACUCCUACGGGAGGCAGCAGUGGGGAAUUGUUCGCAAUGGGCGCAAGCCUGACGACGCAACGCCGCGUGGAGGAUGAAGACCUUCGGGUCGUAAACUCCUUUCGAUCGAGACGAAUGGCCUUCGGGUUAAUAACCUGAGGGAGUGACGGUACCGAGAGAAGAAGCCCCGGCUAACUCCGUGCCAGCAGCCGCGGUAAUACGGGGGGGGCAAGCGUUGUUCGGAAUUACUGGGCGUAAAGGGCUCGUAGGCGGCCAACUAAGUCAGACGUGAAAUCCCUCGGCUUAACCGGGGAACUGCGUCUGAUACUGGAUGGCUUGAAUCCGGGAGAGGGAUGCGGAAUUCCAGGUGUAGCGGUGAAAUGCGUAGAUAUCUGGAGGAACACCGGUGGCGAAGGCGGCAUCCUGGACCGGCAUUGACGCUGAGGAGCGAAAGCCAGGGGAGCAAACGGGAUUAGAUACCCCAGUAGUCC
rnacentral:rRNA from 1 species